rnacentral:ncRNA from 1 species
CGAAAGACUUCGACAAGGAGUAGUAGUGGUGCAAAGCCUGAUGUAGAGAGCUGGCGGUUGGUGCAAGCCAGACGGGUCCACCAUGAACUCGCCUUUGAGUCGCAGACGUGAAAGACAAGUAGCGUUUGCCGUAUUCCGCGUUAAGGAUGAAUGAAGCGAGUGUUACACACUAAUUUGGGUGGUACCGCGGGAGAUCAUACAUAACCUCUCGUCCCUUUU